rnacentral:rRNA from 1 species
UAAACGUCUCAGUUCGGAUUGUAGUCUGCAACUCGACUACAUGAAGCUGGAAUCGCUAGUAAUCGCGAAUCAGAAUGUCGCGGUGAAUACGUUCCCGGUCUUGUACACACCGCCCGUCACACCAUGGGAGUUGGCAACGCCCGAAGUCAGUGACCCAACCGGAAGGAGGGAGCUGCCGAAGGCGGGGCUGAUAACUGGGGUGAAGUCGUAACAAGGUAUC